UAACUCUUUCGCUCAUUUCGG
rnacentral:piRNA from 1 species